rnacentral:rRNA from 1 species
CCUACGGGUGGCAGCAGUGAGGAAUAUUGGUCAAUGGGCUUACGCCUGAACCAGCCAAGUCGCGUGAGGGAAGACUGCCCUACGGGUUGUAAACUUCUUUUAUAAAGGAAUAAAGUGAGGCACGUGUGCCUUUUUGUAUGUACUUUAUGAAUAAGGAUCGGCUAACUCCGUGCCAGCAGCCGCGGUAAUACGGAGGAUCCGAGCGUUAUCCGGAUUUAUUGGGUUUAAAGGGAGCGUAGAUGGGUUGUUAAGUCAGUUGUGAAAGUUUGCGGCUCAACCGUAAAAUUGCAAUUGAUACUGGCAGCCUUGAGUACAGUUGAGGUAGGCGGAAUUCGUGGUGUAGCGGUGAAAUGCUUAGAUAUCACGAAGAACUCCGAUUGCGAAGGCAGCUUACUAAACUGCCACUGACAUUGAUGCUCGAAAGUGUGGGUAUCAAACAGGAUUAGAUACCCCUGUAGUC